AUGAUUCCAGGACCUGGAAUCAUACCAGCCGAUGGGAUAUAUAUACCUUUCUGGGAUCAAGUGCAUCCUAACUCACCUGCGCAGGAUUACCAUAUAACUGGAAUUAACCCAUGCAAGUCGAAGAAGGAUUGGCCGGUGCUGCCGGCUAGCGUCAAGUUCGAUCCAACAGACCAGGAGCUGAUCGAGCACCUUGAGGCCAAAGUGAGUGCUGACAACGUGAGAUCUCACCCUCUCAUCGAUUUGUUCAUACCAACCAUCGACAGUGAGCACGGCAUAUGCUACACCCAUCCUGAGAAACUUCCAGGUAUCACACUGAGUGGCCUAAGCAAGCAUUUCUUCCAGCGCAAUUCCAGGGCGUUCAAAAGGGGCACGUGGACGCGUCGCAAGAUACAGUCGGAGUGCGGCAUGCACGCGAUGUGGCACAACACCGGCAAUACCUUGCCGGUGAUGGUCAACGGCCGGCAAACGGGCAGCAAAAAGGUUCUGGUGCUGCACACCAACAAGAACUUCGACUAG
rnacentral:rRNA from 1 species